rnacentral:rRNA from 1 species
CAGCUCCAAUAGCGUAUAUUAAAGUUGUUGCAGUUAAAAAGCUCGUAGUUGAAUUUCGGGAUUAGUACGUUGGUCGUGCCUUAGGUACGUACUGGUGUUACUGGUUCCUACCUUCUGACGAACCAUCAUGUCAUUAAUUUGGUGUGGCGGGGAAUCAGGACUGUUACUUUGAAAAAAUUAGAGUGUUUAAAGCAGGCUCGCGCUUGAAUACAUUAGCAUGGAAUAAUGAAAUAGGACGUUGACCCUAUUUUGUUGGUUUCUAGGAUUGACGUAAUGAUUAAUAGGGAUAGUUGGGGGCAUUAGUAUUCAAUUGUCAGAGGUGAAAUUCUUGGAUUUAUUGAAGACUAACUACUGCGAAAGCAUUUGCCAAGGAUGUUUUCAUUAAUCAAGAACGAAAGUUAGGGGAUCGAAGACGAUCAGAUACCGUCGUAGUCUUAACCAUAAACUAUGCCCGACUAGGGAUCGGAUGAUGUUAUUUUUAAUGACUC